AAUGCAUCUUCUUGCUAGAACACUAGUAUC
rnacentral:piRNA from 1 species